rnacentral:rRNA from 1 species
UCAAGUGAAAUAAGGGCGUUCGGUGGAUGCCUUGGCUCUGAGAGGCGAUGAAGGACGUGGCACGCUGCGAUAAGCUUCGGGGAGGCGCGAGCACCCUUUGAUCCGAAGAUUUCCGAAUGGGGAAACCCACCUUCGAGACUGGAGAUUCGGUACCGUGGUGCAAAUCACGGUAUCUGGUUUCCAGUUUCAUCAAGAAGGUAUUCUAACCUGAAUACAUAGGGUUAGAAAGCAAACCCGGUGAAGUGAAACAUCUCAGUAACCGGAGGAAAGGACAUCAAACGAGACUCCGUUAGUAGUGGCGAGCGAACGCGGACUAGGCCAGUGCCUUGUCGACGGAAACCAGAAUGGUCCUGGAAAGGCCAGCAUUACGGGUGAUAGCCCCGUAUGGGUAAGAAUAGACAAGGACUCGAGUAGGGCGGGACACGUGAAAUCCUGUCUGAACAUGGGGGGACCACCCUCCAAGCCUAAGUACUCCUCAGAGACCGAUAGUGAACCAGUACCGUGAGGGAAAGGUGAAAAGCACCCCGACGAGGGGAGUGAAAUAGACCCUGAAACCGAGCGCCUACAAGCAGUCGGAGCCCUUCGGGGUGACGGCGUACCUUUUGUAUAAUGGGCCAACGACUUAGUGUGACGAGCGAGCUUAAGCCGAUAGGCGUAGGCGCAGCGAAAGCGAGUCUGAAUAGGGCAUCGAGUUCGUCGCAUUAGACCCGAAACGCGUUGAUCUACCUAUGGGCAGAGUGAAGGUACGGUAACACGUACUGGAGGCUCGAACUCUUGAAUGUUGAAAAAUUCUGAGAUGACCUGUUGGUAGGGGUGAAAGGCCAAUCAAAACGCGUGAUAGCUGGUUCUCCGCGAAAUCUAUUUAGGUAGAGCGUCGAAUGAUUACCGCCGGGGGUAGAGCACUGGAUGGGCUAGGGGGACUUACCGUCUUACCAAACCUAACCAAACUCCGAAUACCGGCGAGUACAGUUCGGCAGACACACUGUGGGUGCUAACGUCCAUGGUGAAAAGGGAAACAACCCUGACCGACAGCUAAGGUCCCCAAGUGGCGGCUAAGUGGGAAAGGAUGUGGGAUUGCUUAGACAACCAGGAAGUUGGCUUAGAAGCAGCCAUCUUUUAAAGAAAGCGUAACAGCUCACUGGUCAAGCGAUCCUGCGCCGAAAAUGUAACGGGGCUCAAGCCGCCCACCGAAGCUUCGGACUCCUCCGGGAGUGGUAGCGGAGCGUUCUGUAAGCCUGCGAAGGUGUACCGUGAGGUAUGCUGGAGGUAUCAGAAGCGAGAAUGUUGGCAUGAGUAGCGAUAAAGAGGGUGAGAGACCCUCUCGCCGAAAGACCAAGGGUUCCUGCGUAAAGCUAAUCUGCGCAGGGUUAGCCGGCCCCUAAGGCGAGGCCGAAAGGCGUAGUCGAUGGGAACCACGUUAAUAUUCGUGGGCCUGCGGGUAGUGACGGAUCUCGAAAGUCGUCGAAACUUAUCGGAUUGUUUCGGCGGCCUGGAGGUUCCAGGAAAUAGCUCCCGCGUAUAGACCGUACCCGAAACCGACACAGGUGGUCAGGUAGAGUAUACCUAGGCGCUUGAGAGAACUGUGCUGAAGGAACUCGGCAAAUUGCCCUCGUAACUUCGGGAGAAGAGGGCCUGUUCAGAACGCAAGUUUUGGACAGGGGCACAAAUCAGAGGGUGGCGACUGUUUAUCAAAAACACAGGGCACUGCGAAGCCGCAAGGCGACGUAUAGUGUCUGACUCCUGCCCAGUGCCUGAAGGUUAAGAGGAGAAGUGCAAGCUUUGAAUCGAAGCCCAGGUGAACGGCGGCCGUAACUAUAACGGUCCUAAGGUAGCGAAAUUCCUUGUCGG